CCUACGGGUGGCAGCAGUAGGGAAUUUUUCACAAUGGGCGAAAGCCUGAUGGAGCAACGCCGCGUGCAGGAUGAAGGCCUUCGGGUUGUAAACUGUUUUUAUAAGCGAGAAAUAUGAUGGUAACUUAUGAAUAAGGAUCGGCUAACUACGUGCCAGCAGCCGCGGUCAUACGUAGGAUCCGAGCAUUAUCCGGAGUGACUGGGUGUAAAGAGUUGCGUAGGUGGCAUAAUAAGUAGCUAGUGAAAUCUGGUGGCUCAACCAUUCAGACUAUUAGCUAAACUGUUAAGCUCGAGACCGUUAGGGGUAACUGGAAUUUCUAGUGUAGGAGUGAAAUCCGUAGAUAUUAGAAGAAACACCAAUAGCGUAGGCAGGUUGCUGGGACGGUUCUGACACUAAGGCACGAAAGCGUAGGGAGCAAACGGGAUUAGAUACCCUAGUAGUC
rnacentral:rRNA from 1 species